rnacentral:rRNA from 1 species
UACGUAGGGUGCAAGCGUUAAUCGGAAUUACUGGGCGUAAAGCGUGCGCAGGCGGUGAUGUAAGACAGAUGUGAAAUCCCCGGGCUCAACCUGGGAACUGCAUUUGUGACUGCAUCGCUGGAGUGCGGCAGAGGGGGAUGGAAUUCCGCGUGUAGCAGUGAAAUGCGUAGAGAUACGGAGGAACACCGAUGGCGAAGGCAGCCCCCUGGGCUGACACUGACGCUCAGGCACGAAAGCGUGGGGAGCAAACAGG